rnacentral:rRNA from 1 species
GACGAACGCUGGCGGCGUGCUUAACACAUGCAAGUCGAACGGGCCUUGUCCCCUUUUUUUUUGGGGGGGGGGGUAGUGGCGAACGGGUGAGUAACACGUGAGUAACCUGCCCCUCACUUCUGGAUAACCGCUUGAAAGGGUGGCUAAUACGGGGUGUUCUGGCCUGCUCGCAUGGGUGGGUUUGGAAAGAUUCGACCGGUUUUGGUUGUUUUGGUGGGGGAUGGGCUCGCGGCCUAUCAGCUUGUUGGUGGGGGGAUGGCCUGCCAAGGCCUUGACGGGUAGCCGGCCUGGGAGGGUGGGCAGUCACACUGGGACUGAGACACGGCCCAGACUCCUACGGGGGGCAGCAGUGGAGAAUAUUGCACGAUGGGCGCAAGCCUGAUGCAGCGACGCCGCGUGAGGGAUGGAGGCCUUCGGGUUGUGAACCUCUUUCGCCAGUGAAAAAGGUCCUGCUCUUUGUGGUGGGGUUGACGGUAGCUGGGUUAAUGAAGCGCCGGCUAACUACGUG